rnacentral:rRNA from 1 species
UUUAAAAGCUUUUUAAAGUAUCAAUUGGAGGGCAAGUCUGGUGCCAGCAGCCGCGGUAAUUCCAGCUCCAAUAGCGUAUAUUAAAAUUGUUGCAGUUAAAAAGCUCGUAGUUGAAUUUUUGUUAAAAAUAACCGGUCUGCUUUUAUUAUUAAUAAAAGUGGUAUCUUGGUGUGUUUUUAGCAAUAAUGUCCUUUUGAGAUGUUUUUUACUUACUUUAUUGUAAUAAAUAAUGUUGAGGAUGUUUACUUUGAGAAAAUUAGAGUGUUUCUAGCAGGCUAACGCUUUGAAUACUGCAGCAUGGAAUAAUAAGAUAGGAUUUUGGUUCUAUAUUAUUGGUUUUAAGAACUAAAUUAAUGAUUGAUAGGGACAGUUGGGGGCAUUUGUAUUUAACUGUCAGAGGUGAAAUUCUUAGAUUUGUUAAAGACAAACUACUGCGAAAGCAUUUGCCAAAGAUGUUUUCAUUAAUC